rnacentral:rRNA from 1 species
AUGUUUAAUUUAUCUGUACCCAAGCCAAGGAGAGGGCCAGGAGGUGAUUUGAUCAGAAAAAUGUGGUGCCGGCGAAACCGCGGUGGAGGAGGUUGUGCGCGAUGCUGUCCCUCUCCUGCUUGGCGGUCUCGGAGCGAACAGGGGUCUCCGGCGUGGUAUCGUCGUCGAAAAGCGCAAACGGGACCUCCGGCUCGAGCUCCUCGCGGCGCAUCUCGCAGAUGUUGUGCAGGACGCAGCAGGCGCCCAGCACCACGGGGAGGUCCUGGAGCUUCACCUCCGUGCGCUUCUGGAGGCAUGCCCACCGCGUCUUGA